GGAGGUGUGGCUUCCCGGCGGAGGUGUGGCCUCGGCGCCGCGGGGCGGGGUGCCACCUGCGGCGAGGACAGCCACCAACUCCCCGCCCAGAGUACGAAGCGGGUACGCGACUGAAUCAGCGGCCCCCACGUGGGCCCCGACUUUGUGCCCAACACCGCUGGCGGCUGUGCUGACGGUCUCAUUCAAGGCUCGCAGCAACCGCGGGAGAGGGGUGUCCCCCGCUGGGGUUCCCAUCCUACCGAGGCGAACAGCGGGCCUCGGAAAGGAGAGGUUGGGUGACCCAGUGUCGCACCAGCGGUCGCGGACAACUCCGGGAGUCCCAGGCCUCAGGACCGGUUGUAAUCGCGCACGCUGCACAUCACACACAGGGGGUCGGGGCUUGCGAUUGAAAAUACAUCCUCGCAGGUGUCUGACCUCUGCUUGCCUGAAAACCUGAGAAGACACGGAGUGGAACGUGACCCCCCUUUACCAGCGUCUCCUGGGACUUCCGGUCAGAUCCACUGCUCAUUUAUCUUGUUCAUUUGGCUUCCCCUGCAAAGAUUCUGCUUCUCUCUGUCUGCUCAUCCUGUACCCUGUAAGAGACAAGCCCUCUCUGUAUGCUGGUCCUCUUUGCAAGUACCACCCCUGCCCACCUGUUCUGCUUUUGCAGCCUUGGAUGAAAUGGGAGACAUUGACAUUGGCUUCUAGCUCAUGGGUUUUCUGAAACUGCCAUAACUGAGAACAGAGUGAAGAGACCGUUCUUCUUGGGACCUGUUAACUGGUUUCACUGUCUGAUGUCCAUGGCGCCCACCGGAUUUCUUCUGGGCCUUAAGUAUUUUUGGGAAAAUGUGUCCACCUGACCAGUGUGAUGGAGCUCACACAUCUCUGGCCAGUCUCCUGGAGGCCAACUUGGCCCUGAAGGACGUGCCCUGUACCUGCCCACCCACAUGUGGCUGACACUGGUCCCAGGUCCACUAUGCAACAUAGGAAGGGACAGACCAGCCCCACAGGCAACUUCCUGCCGCCCCAGCCACUGCCCACCAGCCUCCCAGGGCCUGGGCACACAGGACUCCACUCACAGAGGACCUUUGCUGUCCCGAAGGACUCGAAUUUGUUUUCAAAUGCUCGCAGUGAUUACCAAGGACAUGGAAUGGUUUUUAAAACCUGAAUAAAGUGUUCUUGAUACUUCUGGAGCCUCUCA